rnacentral:rRNA from 1 species
AGGACGAACGCUGGCGGCGUGCCUAACACAUGCAAGUCGAGCGGAGCCAUCUGAAGAUCCCUCGGGUGAUCAGGGGAAGCUAGCGGCGGACGGGUGAGUAACACGUGAGUAACCUGCCCUUAUGAGGAGGAUAACACACCGAAAGGUGUGCUAAUACUGCAUAAUAUAUAUUUUUUCGCAUGGAGAAUAUAUCAAAGAUUUAUCGCAUAAGGAUGGACUCGCGUCCGAUUAGGUAGUUGGUGAGGUAACGGCCCACCAAGCCGACGAUCGGUAGCCGGACUGAGAGGUUGAACGGCCACAUUGGGACUGAGACACGGCCCAGACUCCUACGGGAGGCAGCAGUGGGGGAUAUUGCGCAAUGGGGGGAAAAACCCCUGACGCAGCAACGCCGCGUGAAGGAUGAAGGUUUUCGGAUCGUAAACUUAUGUCAUCGGGGACGAGAAAGGACGGUACCCGAGGAGGAAGCCACGGCUAACUACGUGCCAGCCGCCGC